AACGAACGCUGGCGGUGUGCUUAACACAUGCAAGUCGAACGAGAACGUUUCCUUCGGGGAAUUAGUAAAGUGGCGCAAGGGUGAGUAACACGUGAAUAAUCUGCCCUCGAGAUCGGGAUAACUUGGCGAAAGCUAGGCUAAUACCGGAUAAGACCACAUUUUUAUAAGAAAUGUGGAAAAAGGAGCCUCAACCUCCACUCGAGGAUGAGUUCGCGGACCAUUAGCUUGUUGGUGAGAUAAAAGCUCACCAAGGCUACGAUGGAUAGCCGGCCUGAGAGGGUGAUCGGCCACACUGGAACUGAGACACGGUCCAGACUCCUACGGGAGGCAGCAGUGGGGAAUAUUGCGCAAUGGGCGAAAGCCUGACGCAGCAACACCGCGUGAGCGAUG
rnacentral:rRNA from 1 species